UUGAACGCUGGCGGCAGGCCUAACACAUGCAAGUCGAGCGGUAGCACAGAGAGCUUGCUCUCGGGUGACGAGCGGCGGACGGGUGAGUAAUGUCUGGGAAACUGCCUGAUGGAGGGGGAUAACUACUGGAAACGGUAGCUAAUACCGCAUAAUGUCGCAAGACCAAAGUGGGGGACCUUCGGGCCUCAUGCCAUCAGAUGUGCCCAGAUGGGAUUAGCUAGUAGGUGGGGUAACGGCUCACCUAGGCGACGAUCCCUAGCUGGUCUGAGAGGAUGACCAGCCACACUGGAACUGAGACACGGUCCAGACUCCUACGGGAGGCAGCAGUGGGGAAUAUUGCACAAUGGGCGCAAGCCUGAUGCAGCCAUGCCGCGUGUGUGAAGAAGGCCUUCGGGUUGUAAAGCACUUUCAGCGGGGAGGAAGGCGUUAAGGUUAAUAACCUUGGCGAUUGACGUUACCCGCAGAAGAAGCACCGGCUAACUCCGUGCCAGCAGCCGCGGUAAUACGGAGGGUGCAAGCGUUAAUCGGAAUUACUGGGCGUAAAGCGCACGCAGGCGGUCUGUCAAGUCGGAUGUGAAAUCCCCGGGCUCAACCUGGGAACUGCAUUCGAAACUGGCAGGCUAGAGUCUUGUAGAGGGGGGUAGAAUUCCAGGUGUAGCGGUGAAAUGCGUAGAGAUCUGGAGGAAUACCGGUGGCGAAGGCGGCCCCCUGGACGAAGACUGACGCUCAGGUGCGAAAGCGUGGGGAGCAAACAGGAUUAGAUACCCUGGUAGUCCACGCCGUAAACGAUGUCGAUUUGGAGGUUGUGCCCUUGAGGCGUGGCUUCCGGAGCUAACGCGUUAAAUCGACCGCCUGGGGAGUACGGCCGCAAGGUUAAAACUCAAAUGAAUUGACGGGGGCCCGCACAAGCGGUGGAGCAUGUGGUUUAAUUCGAUGCAACGCGAAGAACCUUACCUGGUCUUGACAUCCACAGAACUUUCCAGAGAUGGAUUGGUGCCUUCGGGAACUGUGAGACAGGUGCUGCAUGGCUGUCGUCAGCUCGUGUUGUGAAAUGUUGGGUUAAGUCCCGCAACGAGCGCAACCCUUAUCCUUUGUUGCCAGCGGUUAGGCCGGGAACUCAAAGGAGACUGCCAGUGAUAAACUGGAGGAAGGUGGGGAUGACGUCAAGUCAUCAUGGCCCUUACGACCAGGGCUACACACGUGCUACAAUGGCAUAUACAAAGAGAAGCGACCUCGCGAGAGCAAGCGGACCUCAUAAAGUAUGUCGUAGUCCGGAUUGGAGUCUGCAACUCGACUCCAUGAAGUCGGAAUCGCUAGUAAUCGUAGAUCAGAAUGCUACGGUGAAUACGUUCCCGGGCCUUGUACACACCGCCCGUCACACCAUGGGAGUGGGUUGCAAAAGAAGUAGGUAGCUUAACCUUCGGGAGGGCGCUUACCACUUUGUGAUUCAUGACUGGGGUG
rnacentral:rRNA from 1 species